GUCAAAUGUUUUAAUACUGUUACAAGAUGAAAGAGAGUUAAAUUUUAUGUACUCUAAAAGAUCUUUGGAAUUUUUAAGUAUCCACAUCUGAUUCACGCCACCUCUAGAAUAGGCAGUUUCACAUUAACUUUGAAGCCCGUCUUUGAUUGCUGAUAAAAUAGAUGUUAAUAAUUUAGAAAGAGGUUUCGUGGAGCACUUGGAAGACCCAGC
rnacentral:lncRNA from 1 species